GACGAACGCUGGCGGCAGGCUUAACACAUGCAAGUCGAGCGGACUUUUGCGCCUUCGGGUGCUUGAGUUAGCGGCGGACGGGUGAGUAACACGUGGAAACAUGCUCUUUACUGCGGGAUAGUCGCUGGAAACGGCGAAUAAUACCGCAUACGCCCUACGGGGGAAAGAUUUAUCGGUAAAGAAUUGGUCCGCGGUGGAUUAGGUUGUUGGUGGGGUAAUGGCCUACCAAGCCGACGAUCCAUAGCUGGUUUGAGAGGACGAUCAGCCACACUGGGACUGAGACACGGCCCAGACUCCUACGGGAGGCAGCAGUGAGGAAUAUUAGACAAUGGGGGCAACCCUGAUCUAGCCAUGCCGCGUGAUUGACGAAGGCCUUAGGGUUGUAAAAAUCUUUCGCCAGGGAUGAUAAUGACAGUACCUGGUAAAGAAGCCCCGGCUAACUCCGUGCCAGCCGCCGCCGUAACAC
rnacentral:rRNA from 1 species